rnacentral:lncRNA from 1 species
UCCUUUUCUUGAAAUGUCCAUUUUUACUAUCUUGGCCAUGAUUACCGCCGAAGUGGUUACCAUUUCUGGCAUGUUGAUUCCCUCCACGUUUGUUGUCACCGCUUUGAUGACUGAUACCACUGGUAUUUUCAUGCUGCCGGCUGCUUUCUCUUGGUUGCGUUGACUCGUUACCGCGCUCCAAUAACUGAGCCCUAUUUACAACAUCUGAGUACAAACACAGUUUAUGAGAAAUAAGAU